GACGAACGCUGGCGGCGUGCUUAACACAUGCAAGUCGAACGGACAGACCCCUUUGGGGGUACUCGAGUGGCGAACGGGUGAGUAACACGUGAGUAACCUGCCCUUAACUUCGGGAUAACGUCAAGAAACUGGGGCUAAUACCGGAUAGGAAUCCUUGCUGCAUGGUGGGGGUUGGAAAGCUUCGGCGGUUUUGGAUGGACUCGCGGCUUAUCAGCUUGUUGGUGGGGUAGUGGCUUACCAAGGCUUUGACGGGUAGCCGGACUGUGAGGGCGACCGGCCACAUAGGGACUGAGAGACGGCACAGACUCCGACGCGUGGGAGCAGUGGGGAAGAUUGAACAAUGGGCGGAAGCCUGAUGAAGCAGCGCCGCGUGCGGGAUGACGGCCUUCGGGUGGUAAACCGCUUGCAGCAGGGGCGAAGCUUGUGGUGACGGUACCUGCAGAAGAAGCACCGGCUAACUACGUG
rnacentral:rRNA from 1 species